AUUGAACGCUGGCGGCAUGCUUUACACAUGCAAGUCGAACGGUAACAGGCCGCAAGGUGCUGACGAGUGGCGAACGGGUGAGUAAUGCAUCGGAACGUGCCCAGUCGUGGGGGAUAACUACUCGAAAGAGUAGCUAAUACCGCAUACGAUCUAUGGAUGAAAGCGGGGGACCGUAAGGCCUCGCGCGAUUGGAGCGGCCGAUGUCAGAUUAGGUAGUUGGUGGGGUAAAGGCUCACCAAGCCAACGAUCUGUAGCUGGUCUGAGAGGACGAUCAGCCACACUGGGACUGAGACACGGCCCAGACUCCUACGGGAGGCAGCAGUGGGGAAUUUUGGACAAUGGGCGCAAGCCUGAUCCAGCAAUGCCGCGUGCAGGAAGAAGGCCUUCGGGUUGUAAACUGCUUUUGUACGGAACGAAACGGCUCUGGUUAAUACCCGGGGCUAAUGACGGUACCGUAAGAAUAAGCACCGGCUAACUACGU
rnacentral:rRNA from 1 species